GAUCUGGCUCAGGAUGAACGCUAGCGGCAGGCUUAACACAUGCAAGUCGAGGGGCAUCGGGAGUAGCAAUACUGCCGGCGACCGGCGCAAGGGUGCGUAACGCGUGAGCAACAUGCCCGUAUCAGGGGGAUAAUCCAUGGAAACGUGGUCUAAUACCCCAUAGUAAUUAUGUAAGGCAUCUUAUAUAAUUUAAAGCUUUGGUGGAUACGGAUUGGCUCGCGUGACAUUAGCUAGAUGGUAAGGUAACGGCUUACCAUGGCUACGAUGUCUAGGGGUUCUGAGAGGAAGGUCCCCCACACUGGAACUGAGACACGGUCCAGACUCCUACGGGAGGCAGCAGUGAGGAAUAUUGGACAAUGGAUGGAAAUCUGAUCCAGCCAUGCCGCGUGCCAGGAAGACGGCCCUAUGGGUUGUAAACUGCUUUUGUAUGGGAGCAAUAAGGGCUACGCGUAGUCCGAUGAGAGUACCAUACGAAUAAGCACCGGCUAACUCCGUGCCAGCCGCCGC
rnacentral:rRNA from 1 species